rnacentral:rRNA from 1 species
UACAGAGGUCCCAAGCGUUGUUCGGAUUCACUGGGCGUAAAGGGUGCGUAGGUGGCCAGGUAAGUUUGGUGUGAAAGCUCGGAGCUUAACUCCGAAAAGUCAUUGAAUACUAUCUGGCUGGAGGGUCGGAGGGGAGACUGGAAUUCCUGGUGUAGCAGUGAAAUGCGUAGAUAUCAGGAGGAACACCGAUGGCGAAGGCAGGUCUCUGGGCUGACACUGACGCUCAUGCACGAAAGCGUGGGGAGCAAACAGG